rnacentral:rRNA from 1 species
UGAGGAAUAUUGGUCAAUGGACGGAAGUCUGAACCAGCCAUGCCGCGUGCAGGAUGACGGUGCUAUGCAUUGUAAACUGCUUUUGUACGAGGGUAAAGUCAGGUACGUGUACCUGUUUGAAAGUAUCGUACGAAUAAGGAUCGGCUAACUCCGUGCCAGCAGCCGCGGUAAUACGGAGGAUCCAAGCGUUAUCCGGAUUUAUUGGGUUUAAAGGGUGCGUAGGCGGUUUUAUAAGUUAGAGGUGAAAUCCCGUGGCUCAACCACGGAACUGCCUCUGAUACUGUAAGACUAGAGUUUGGUUGCGGAAGGCGGAAUGAGUAGUGUAGCGGUGAAAUGCUUAGAUAUUACUCAGAACACCGAUUGCGAAGGCAGCUUUCCAAGCCACUACUGACGCUGAGGCACGAAAGCGUGGGGAGCAAACA